UUCUAUGGCCAUAUCACCCUGAAUGCACCUGAUCUCAUCUGAACUGGGAGCCACCUACAGCUUAGGGGUCCAGGAGGUGUGGUUUCCCAGAAUUGACUACCCUGGUAGCUAUUGUGA
rnacentral:rRNA from 1 species